AGAAGACAGAGGGAAUGGGUGGUGAAAGCGAUUGACGAGCUGGUUGAAGGCAAGGAGCAGCUGACGUUGAGGCAAAAAAGCGACUGGAAUCUCUUCUUUUCUUCAUGUCUGUGUUUUUUAGGUCCGCCUGCAUCUCUUGGUUCCUCCCAAAUUUGCAGUGCGUGUGUGUGAGAGAGUGUGUGUGUGUGUGUGUGUGUGUGUGUGUUGAUUAGCUCUUUCUGGUACUCUCUGCCUGUUUUCCAGCAUGGGAUGGAGGUAGACUGUGGUGUGGCAGACUUGUAGGCUGCCUAAUUAAUGCUCCAGAGCCUGGAAGGUGUGUGUGUGAGAGAGAGAGAGAGAGGGUAGUGUGUGUAUUUGCACUUCCAGUCGCAUGUUCUCUGUGUGACUGUGUGUGCACGAGCAUCCAAGGGUUGUACGUGUUAAUGUGUGUGUCUGUGUGUGUUACCACCCCCCCCCUACACACACACACACACACACACACACACACACACACACACACACACACACCCUGAACCCCCCCGGGGCGUAAAGCAGGCUGCAGGGGCUGGUGCAGAAACAGAGCUGGGAUCAUGGAGGCAGCACUGCAGGCAUCUGCCCCCAGGAAGCAGCACCAGCCCCGCGCAGCUGGCACUGAGGCCUUCAUGAGCCAGGAAAUGGCACACCUCCUGACUAAACCCCCACACCUCCCUCCCUCUCUCAUUCUCACAAACACACGCACACACACACACACUCUUGUACACAUGUCUCAAACAUCUCUCUCCACACUGCUCAUCAAACAAGCAAACAUCGAUUCCUGUUGAAAAAAAAAAGGAAACAACUAUCGGCGAGCGGAAGGAAAUGCACGGCCAGAGUGGCUCCUUUUGCUGUUUGUCAGUCACCAACAUCAGAUAGUUCCUGAGUGUUUAGAGAAACAGCUAAUAUGAAUGAAGCAUGUUAUAAAAGAGGAACAUUGAAUUAAUUCUGGCACAUUAAUCAUGCACCUGAGUCAAGAUUCAGGGAAACAAAAAUGGGAAUUGCUUAGGAAUUGCGCUCUACAUAUUUACAUUCAAAGAUCUUUAGGGAAUUCAAAGAUGGACAAUUUGACAAUUACAACCUCCCCAUCCCCCGUUUUCCCCACUUUGAAGGCCUUGGAUUCCCUUAAGAAUACAGCUUGCAUGACAUAAAUGCAUGUGUAUCUAUCUCUCUCCCUGGAUUUCAUGUAAAUGUAGUUUGAUUUAUUGUUUGCAUGUGUUCUAUGUGGGUGUUUGUGCAUGCAUUUGCAUGUGCAGAUUCGUGGUUCACUCCGGGGUGUGUAGACUGCAGGGUUAGAAUACAUAUUUGUGUGUUUUACAGGGCGACACGUCCAUCAUUCUGCGCUGCCGGUAGACAACCAGCUGACAGAGCGACAGGCCCUCACCUUGGAUUACUCCCCUGCUGAGGAGGCUGCUCUGGGCCUGGCCGCCAGGGCAAACAGGGCGCUAACAGGCCCAGGCCUCAGCCUUCCUCUCUGCACCCACACACAGGCAGGACUGCGGGGUACAAUUAGGCGGACAGGACGCCAUACCACCGCUCACCUGUCAGCUAGACUGGCGACGUGCAUGGGGUGCAAAUUGACAC
rnacentral:lncRNA from 1 species